UGAAAACGACUGUUCAUUCGGCUAUAUUGAAUCUUUGAUCUCUCUCUGACUCUAAAUUGUUUUUCCUUUUUUGUUUUUAAAUAUACUAUUGAUAUUUAAAAAUGUCGGACAACGAGAAGGAGGAAGCUCGUAAUCUACAAAUGGAAUUUGAAUGGGUACUUCAUGAUGAAAUACACCCAUGCUUACAACAAUUGAGAUCAAUACUGACAGAAUGUUGUUCGCGAUUUCCUAUGGCUCUAUUUGGUAAUGAUCAACAAUGUAAAGUUGAUAGAUUUGUUUUUUCGUCUCCACACGAUCAAGUUAAAUGUGUAGUUGUACUUACUGGUGACAGUAUUACGAAUGCUGAAGUGACAUUCAAAGUCCAACGUCAGCAAAACGUUUCAAUGAGAACAAGUAUACAGAAUGAUCAUCCAUGGAAAUUACAACAGAUUCAAGAUGCUGCGAAUCACCUUCAACAAGCUAUUGCUCAUAUUGACAAUGUAGAUCGUAAUUAUUUAUUUAAAACAUCUGAGGAAGUUUUACAUAUACUUGCUAAUAUCCUUGGGUGCCUUCAACGAAGUCGGUCGAGUUUAAUUGUGCCUAAAAAGAAAACCAUUGAUGAUUUGAUGAAGAGUCGCAAUAUGAAAUCAUUAAAUCCAAAUUUACCAGAAAACUUGGCAAUUAGUUUCUACAUUCAAAGCUAUAAGCUCAUUUUGGCUGUAUAUCAGUUAGAAAGUACACAUGGAAAUGUAAAAUAUGAGUCGCAGCAAGCUGAAUGUAAUGUACCAUGGCUGAAUGACGCUUUGAUAUUAUUAACCAUAGCUCUACAGCUUUGUCAACGACUGAAAGAUAAGCAAUGAAGGUAAAAAAGAAUAGUACAAUUUAAUUUCAAAUAUCCAAUAAAGGCAAAGAAAUUUUUUUAUUUUUAAAUUGAAGCUCGAAUAAUUUUGCAUAAGAUAGAUUUAUACAUAAUUUUGAAAUAAUUUAAUAACAUUUGACGUGAACAAAGUCUAUAAAAUUCCAAUGAAGUAAAAUUUUUGGGAUAUCUGUGUUUUCUCAGUAUAAAGAUUUUACCGUAGGAUCAAGAGUUCCAUCAGUUAUGGGUUUAAACUAAAGUGUAUAAAAAAAAUUUUAUUUAUUUAUUUUUUUUUUUUUUAAGAUAAUAAAUCGUGUGAAUCAGUUUUACUAGAUGUGUUCAAUUAAAAAUGCACACUAAUCCAGUGAUUAGACCUUUGCUAGAAUUUCUUUUAAGAUAGACUAAUUUUUUCUUUUAAUUUUAACUAUAAAUUCAACGUAAGAAUAGUAAGAGUAAUGUUAAUAUAAGAAAAUAAAGCCAUCUUAAAUCGUAA